AUUGAACGCUGGCGGCAGGCCUAACACAUGCAAGUCGAGCGAGCGGCGGACGGGUGAGUAAUGUAUGGGGACUGCCCGAUAGAGGGGGAUAACUACUGGAAACGGUAGCUAAUACCGCAUACUAUCGGAUAACCCAUAUGGGAUUAGCUAGUAGGUGAGGUAAUGGCUCACCUAGGCGACGAUCCCUAGCUGGCCUGAGAGGAUGAUCAGCAACACUGGGACUGGGAAACGGCCCAGACUCCUACGGAGGCAGAAGUGGGAAAUAGUGCAAAAGGGGCGCAAGCCUGAUGCAGCCAUGCCGCGUGUAUGAAGAAGGCCCUAGGGUGGUAAGGUACUUUCAGUCGGGAGGCGUUACCGACAGAAGAAGCACCGGCUAACUCCGUGCCAGCAGCCGCGGUAAUAC
rnacentral:rRNA from 1 species